CGGGCGAGCAGAGCGGGCCUGGCCUGCAGACGCUGCCAUGUCGGUUGUUGCCUUUCCUCUGCUUUAUGUCGCCCCGCCACCCUAUCUCCGGGUCGGCGAGGGCCUGGGGAGGCCUGCGGAGAGGGGCGCUGGUUGGUUUAACACAGGACGUGCCCGGGUCGUGCCCUUUUAGCUUCCGCCUGUGUUCCAGGCUGUCAAAUAUUCCUGUACAUAGUGGUUCUUGGUUGUUCUGCUUUUAACUUAAGUCUCUCUGGAGGUUAGAAGUACAAGAUCAAGGGUCUUGCUGACUUGUGGUUUCCAGUGAGGGCUCUCUUCCUGGAGAAGGAAAUGGCAACCCACUCCAGUAUUCUUGCCUGGAGAAUCCCAUGGAUGGAGGAGCCUGGUGGGCUAUAGUCCAGGGGGUUGCAAAGAGUCGGAAACGACUUCACUUUCACUUUCACUUUCACCCUCAGCUGAGAAGACUUUCUUCUCUUGUGUUUGCUAUUGAUUGUUUUCUUGAGUUCUCAAAGACCUGUGACCAUAUAUUUUUUUAAGUUGCCUGUUUUCUAAUUGCAUCACUUUAUACACUGUUGUCUAAUAAUAUGUGGUAUUUGGAAUGCCUUCUUAAUUAUUUUGAGCAGCCAUUGCCUGUAUUCUCUUAGCACCUCCUUGGUUUUCUUACAUGAACUCAUCUGACAGGGAAAUGCAGCUUUUUUGUUUGCCCUCUCUGCAUACUGGACCGUCUGAGUCAGUGUUCUAACUAAUCCCUGAUGGUCUCUGAGCUAGUGUUCUACCAGACUCAGUAGUUAUGUGCUUCAGGAAUUUUUUGGUAGAAUUGGUCCUAUUAGGAGACUCUUGGUGUCACCUUCGUUAUCUUAAAAGCUGGUCCCUUCGCUGAGGCUCUUAAUUUUUUGAAAACUUGAUGCUAUUUCAGCUGAAAAAAAUUGGCAAGGCUAUUUAAAAAAUUGAGGGAAGCCAUUUAAGAAAUUGAAAUGUAGUCGCAAACAACAUUGGGUAGUUGUGACUUUCAGUCCUGUAUCAGUUGAAUUUUUGUGCUCUUUCCCCUAUGUACGUGGUGGUUCUAUUUUUCUCCAAUAAAACUUUUUAUGAAAAAAAAAAAA